UGGGAACGUACCCUUUGGUUCGGAAUAACCCGGGAAACUGGGGCUAAUACCGGAUGGUUCCUUCGGGAUAAAGAUUUAUCGCCAAAAGAUGAGUCCGCGUCCGAUUAGCUAGUUGGUGAGGUAAUGGCUCACCAAGGCGACGAUCGGUAGCUGGUCUGAGAGGACGAUCAGCCACACUGGGACUGAGACACGGCCCAGACUCCUACGGGAGGCAG
rnacentral:rRNA from 1 species